AACGCUGGCGGCGUGCCUAACACAUGCAAGUCGAACGCGAGAGGGGCUUCGGCCCUGAUUGAGUGGCAAACGGGUGAGUAACGCGUGGGUGACCUACCUUCGAGUGGGGGAUAACGUUUCGAAAGGAACGCUAAUACCGCAUGACAUCCUGCCUUUGGACAGGCGGAGAUCAAAGCCGGGGAUCGCAAGACCUGGCGCUUGGAGAGGGGCCCGCGUCCGAUUAGCUAGUUGGUGGGGUAACGGCUCACCAAGGCUUCGAUCGGUAGCCGGCCUGAGAGGGCGGACGGCCACACUGGGACUGAGACACGGCCCAGACUCCUACGGGAGGCAGCAGUGGGGAAUUGUUCGCAAUGGGCGCAAGCCUGACGACGCAACGCCGCGUGGAGGAUGAAGGUCUUCGGAUUGUAAACUCCUGUUGAUCGGGACGAACAUCCCUUGGGAUAACACCCUGAGGGACUGACGGUACCGGUUGAGGAAGCCCCGGC
rnacentral:rRNA from 1 species